UACAGAGGUCUCAAGCGUUGUUCGGAUUCAUUGGGCGUAAAGGGUGCGUAGGUGGCGCCGUAAGUCAGGUGUGAAAUUUCGGAGCUUAACCCCGAAACUGCAUUUGAUACUGCGGUGCUUGAGGACUGGAGAGGAGACUGGAAUUCACGGUGUAGCAGUGAAAUGCGUAGAUAUCGUGAGGAAGACCAGUGGCGAAGGCGGGUCUCUGGACAGUUCCUGACACUGAGGCACGAAGGCCAGGGGAGCAAACGGG
rnacentral:rRNA from 1 species